rnacentral:tRNA from 1 species
UGAUAAGAAGAGGACUUAAAC